UACGGGGGGGGUAAGCGUUGUUCGGAAUUACUGGGCGUAAAGGGCGCGUAGGCGGCCAUGCGUGUCUUCCGUGAAAUCCCUCGGCUUAACUGAGGACGUGCGGAAGAAACUGCAAGGCUCGAGUCCGGGAGAGGGGGGUGGAAUUCCCAGUGUAGCGGUGAAAUGCGUAGAUAUUGGGAGGAACACCGGUGGCGAAGGCGGCCCCCUGGACCGGUACUGACGCUGAGGCGCGAAAGCGUGGGUAGCAAACGGG
rnacentral:rRNA from 1 species